ensembl:piRNA 21ur-4966 ncRNA
UGAUGCCUUGGUACUUCUUGU